GAUGAACGCUGGCGGCGUGCCUAAUACAUGCAAGUCGAGCGAACAGAUGAGGAGCUUGCUCCUCUGACGUUAGCGGCGGACGGGUGAGUAACACGUGGAUAACCUACCUAUAAGACUGGGAUAACUUCGGGAAACCGGAGCUAAUACCGGAUAAUAUAUUGAACCGCAUGGUUCAAUAGUGAAAGACGGUUUUGCUGUCACUUAUAGAUGGAUCCGCGCCGCAUUAGCUAGUUGGUAAGGUAACGGCUUACCAAGGCAACGAUGCGUAGCCGACCUGAGAGGGGGAUCGGCAACACUGGAACGGAGAAACGGUCCAGCCUCCUACGGGAGGCAGCAGUAGGAAUCUUCCGCAAUGGGCGAAAGCCUGACGGAGCAACGCCGCGUGAGUGAUGAAGGUCUUCGGAUCGUAAAACUCUGUUAUUAGGGAAGAACAAAUGUGUAAGUAACUAUGCACGUCUUGACGGUACCUAAUCAGAAAGCCACGGCUAACUACGUG
rnacentral:rRNA from 1 species